ensembl:lncRNA
UGGGAUAUUACAACAACAUAGAGGUUACUGGAAACAACCAGGUCCGUUUGGGAUAUUACAACAACAUAGAGGUUACUGGAAACAACCAGGUCCGUUUGGGAUAUUACAACAACAUAGAAGUUACUGGAAACAACCAAACAGUUUUUUCCCCUCAGACAUUGCAGGUGCGAUAGAAAAGCACAAUAUGUACUGCAGUUGUUUUUAUCAUGAUGAUCCUCAGCUGGGCAACAAAAACAAUAACAACGGUGUUGGGGCGGCCAGUGGCAAUGUUUCCACCUACUGGGGAUUCCAGCUGUAAGGUCCAGUGAAUUUACUUUCUACCAAUCGUGACACAAGACUAUGGUAGCCUGCUAAGCUAAAGCCUAGACAUCAGCUCAGGGAGCUACCACAAGUCCUCAGGUCUCAGACAAG